GGACGAACGCUGGCGGCGUGCCUACUACAUGCAAGUUGAGCGCUGAAGGUUGGUACUUGUACCAACUGGAUGAGCAGCGAACGGGUGAGUAACGCGUGGGGAAUCUGCCUUUGAGCGGGGGACAACAUUUGGAAACGAAUGCUAAUACCGCAUAAAAACUUUAAACACAAGUUUUAAGUUUGAAAGAUGCAAUUGCAUCACUCAAAGAUGAUCCCGCGUUGUAUUAGCUAGUUGGUGAGGUAAAGGCUCACCAAGGCGAUGAUACAUAGCCGACCUGAGAGGGUGAUCGGCCACAUUGGGACUGAGACACGGCCCAAACUCCUACGGGAGGCAGCAGUAGGGAAUCUUCGGCAAUGGACGAAAGUCUGACCGAGCAACGCCGCGGGAGUGAAGAAGGUUGUCGGAUCGUAAAACUCUGUUGGUAGAGAAGAACGUUGGUGAGAGUGGAAAGCUCAUCAAGUGACGGUAACUACCCAGAAAGGGACGGCUAACUACGUG
rnacentral:rRNA from 1 species